rnacentral:rRNA from 1 species
CCUACGGGAGGCAGCAGUAGGGAAUAUUGCGCAAUGGACGAAAGUCUGACGCAGCGACACCGUGUGAAGGAUGAAGGUCCUCGGAUCGUAAACUUCUGUCAAUUGGGGACGAAGGUACUUAGGGUUAAUAGCCUUAAGUAUGACGGUACCC